CCCGCUGAACUUAAGCAUAUCAAUAAGCGGAGGAAAAGAAACUAACAAGGAUUCCCCUAGUAACUGCGAGUGAAGCGGGAAAAGCUCAAAUUUAAAAUCUGGUGGUCUUUGGCUAUCCGAGUUGUAAUCUAGAGAAGUGUUAUCCGCGCUGGACCGUGUACAAGUCUCCUGGAAUGGAGCGUCAUAGAGGGUGAGAAUCCCGUCUUUGACACGGACUGCCAGGGCUUUGUGAUGCGCUCUCAAAGAGUCGAGUUGUUUGGGAAUGCAGCUCAAAAUGGGUGGUAAAUUCCAUCUAAAGCUAGAUAUUGGCGAGAGACCGAUAGCGAACAAGUACCGUGAGGGAAAGAUGAAAAGAACUUUGGAAAGAGAGUUAAACAGUACGUGAAAUUGCUGAAAGGGAAACGCUUGAAGUCAGUCAUGUCCUUCAGAUUCAGCUGGUUCUGCCGGUGUAUUUCUGUUGGAUGGGGUCAACAUCAGUUUUGGAUGCCGGAUAAAGGCUGGAGGAAGGUAGUACCCCCGGGUAAACUUAUAGCCUCCUGUCGCAUACGGUGACCGGGACUGAGGAACGCAGCUUGCCUUUAUGGCCGGGGUUCGCCCACGUACAAGCUUAGGAUGUUGACAUAAUGGCUUUAAACGACCCGUCUUGAAACACGG
rnacentral:rRNA from 1 species